rnacentral:rRNA from 1 species
UGGGGAAUAUUGCGCAAUGGGCGAAAGCCUGACACAGCGACGCCGCGUGAGGGAUGAAGGUUUUCGGAUCGUAAACCUCUGUCAGAAGGGAAGAAACUACGUUGUGCUAAUCAGCAGCGUACUGACGGUACCUUCAAAGGAAGCACCGGCUAACUCCGUGCCAGCAGCCGCGGUAAUACGGAGGGUGCAAGCGUUAAUCGGAAUUACUGGGCGUAAAGCGCACGUAGGCUGUAGUGUAAGUCAGGGGUGAAAUUCCACGGCUCAACCGUGGAACUGCCUUUGAUACUGCACAACUUGAAUCCGGGAGAGGGUGGCGGAAUUCCAGGUGUAGGAGUGAAGUCCGUAGAUAUCUGGAGGAACAUCAGUGGCGAAGGCGGCCACCUGGACCGGUAUUGACGCUGAGGUGCGAAAGCGUGGGGAGCAAACAG